GCAGUAGCCGCGGGAAUACAGAGGGUGCGAGCGUUAAUCGGAUUUACUGGGCGUAAAGCGUGCGUAGGCGGCUUCUUAAGUCGGAUGUGAAAUCCCUGAGCUUAACUUAGGAAUUGCAUUCGAUACUGGGAAGCUAGAGUAUGGGAGAGGAUGGUAGAAUUCCAGGUGUAGCGGUGAAAUGCGUAGAGAUCUGGAGGAAUACCGAUGGCGAAGGCAGCCAUCUGGCCUAAUACUGACGCUGAGGUACGAAAGCAUGGGGAGCAAACAGGAUUAGAUACCCGAGUAGUCCCUGUCUCUUAUAC
rnacentral:rRNA from 1 species